rnacentral:rRNA from 1 species
CGAACGGGUGAGUAACGCGUGAGGAACCUGCCCCAGAGUGGGGGACAACAGUUAGAAACGACUGCUAAUACCGCAUAAGCCCACGGUACCGCAUGGUACAGAGGGAAAAGGAGCAAUUCGCUUUGGGAUGGCCUCGCGUCUGAUUAGAUAGUUGGUGAGGUAACGGCCCACCAAGUCGACGAUCAGUAGCCGGACUGAGAGGUUGAUCGGCCACAUUGGGACUGAGAUACGGCCCAG